CUGCGAGUGAAGAGGGAAGAGCUCAAAUUUGAAUCUGUCAGUCCCUGAGGCUGUCCGAGUUGUAAAUUAGAGAAGUGCUAUCCGCGCUGGCCUGUGCACAAGUCUUUUGGAAAAAAGCAUCAUAGAGGGUGAAAAUCCCGUCUAUUGGCAUAGCAUCCCAGGGCUUUGUGAUGCGCUCUCAACGAGUCGAGUUGUUUGGGAAUGCAGCUCUAAUUGGGUGGUAAAUUCCAUCUAAAGCUAAAUAUAGGCGAGAAACCGAUAGCGAACAAGUACCGUGAGGGAAAGAUGAAAAGAACUUUGGAAAGAGAGUUAAACCGUAUGUGAAAUCGUUGGAAGGGAAACGCUUAAAGUCAGUCGUCUUUGUCGGGGAUCAGCUUGGCACUUGUGUCUUGCGCACUUCCCGGUAGAGGGGUCAGCAUCAAUUUGAUGGUUGGACAAAGGCUUGGGAAAUGUAGCAUCUUCGGGUGUGUUAUAGUCUCAGGUCGUAUACAACCGUUUGGAUUGAGGAACUCAGUGUGAACUUGGGGCUUCGGCUCACAACCCGCACUUAGGAUGCUGGCAUAAUGGCUUUAAUCGACCCGUCUUGAAACACGGACCAAGGAGUCUAACAUGCCUGCAAGUAUUUGGGUGGUAAACCCAUAUGCGUAAUGAAAGUGAAAGUUGAGAUCUCUGUCAUGGAGAGCAUCGACGCCCGGACUGGAGCUCUUGCAAUAGUCCCGCGGUAGAGCAUGUAUGUUGGGACCCGAAAGAUGGUGACUAUGCCUGAAUAGGGUGAAGCCAGAGAACUCUGGUGGAAGCUCGUAGCGAUUCUGACGUGCAAUCGAUCGUCGAAUUKGGUAUAGGGAAACUAAUCGAACUAGUAGCUGGUUCCUGCCGAAGUUUCCCUCAGGAUAGCAGACACUCAUUAAAUCAGUUUUAUGUGGUAAAGCGAAUGAUUAGAGGCCUUGGGGUUGAAACAACCUUAACCUAUUCUCAAACUUUAAAUAUGUAAGAUCGGGUGGUUUCUUGAUUGAACCACUCCGGCGAAUGAGAGUGUCUAGUGGGCCAUUUUUGGUAAGCAGAACCGGCGAUGCGGGAUGAACCGAACGCGAGGUUAAGGUGCCGGAAUCUACACUCAUCAGACACCACAAAAGGUGUUAGUUCAUCUAGACAGCAGGACGGUGGCCAUGGAAGUCGGAAUCCGCUAAGGAGUGUGUAACAACUCACCUGCCGAAUGAACUAGCCCUGAAAAUGGAUGGCGCUUAAGUGUAGUACCCAUACCUCGCC
rnacentral:rRNA from 1 species